CAGACACAUCUCCAGGAACUGUGUUUUUGUUGGCUGCAAUGUGCACUGCUUCCAACACCUUCUCAACUCUGGAGCCAUCAAUACCCUGAUUCAAGAUUUUUGAGAAAGAACAUUAGACUCACUUUAUGAAGGUAAAUGAGUGAGGGAAGUUGAUAAUACCUGGUAUCCAUGAGAAAGAUGCCCUCCAUGAGGAAGGUCAAGCGCCAUGAUUCGCUCGUGAGGUUUCAGCAAUGCGGUAUACACAUGAAAA